GGUGAGUUCCACUAAACACAGCUGAACGCUGAGGUACUUAGGCUCUUUGGAGCUCCAUCUGUCAUGAAAUAGUGCUUGGAAACCACGCAGGGCAUAAUUUUACCUGUGCUCUAAAACAUUAAUACUACUCAUAAGACAUAGAGAGGCAGAGAGGCAGCCAGACAUUAACCUGCUCCGAACUCUUCUGCCAGGAGAUGCUGGGACUGCUGCUUCAGCUGUCUCUGAAUGCCAUUCUGCUUACAACAUUUGUUGAUUUCUUUAGGGAAUUUCUGGACAGUUGAUCUGGUCCUCCCCUAUGUGACAGAACACGGGGCAGUGUUGUGUUCCCAUGUGCCCAUGCUGCCCUCGCUAAGCACAGACAGGAGUGUGACCUAUUCCGAUGUCUGCCGACAUCCAUAGCAUAGUGCAAGUGUCCGUACGUUGCUUUUUAGGCAGUUGAGGAAGUCAGACCAUGCAAAUUAAUCAUGUGUUAACAUGCAAUACUCAAAGGGUUUUACUUUAGCUCUCUUCUUUUGACUCUUCAUGAUGAUUUACUGUAAAUGCUUCUCAGUUUGCAUGCCUUGCCCAUUGCUGCUAGUGAAUCUAUGUGCCAGUAGACCUGAGUUUAGUUUACCAAUUUUACUUAAAUAGUAAAAGCCACUUACAAAGUGACUGCCUAGGGUUGAUUCUCCUUUUGUUUAAAGGGAUUGGUAAUACGUCGUUUUUAAAAGAAAUAUUUGGUCUCUUUUAUUUGGUCCUAAUAUUUGAAUCUUUUGCCCCUCCUUCCUUGGUUCUCUUUCUUUCUUUUUAGUAAAAUAUGAUGUUGGGAUUGGAAGCCCUGAGUAAUGAAGUAUUUGGUAAGAACCAUUUAUGUAGCUCAACAAUCAUGACAACAGACCUCUGUGAGAAGGUUGGUUCUGGGGAGGAAAGCAAAAAUAAAACUGAUUGACUUUUGAUGACCAAGUAAAUUUUCCUUGAGUAAAUUAACAUUUCUGAACAAACGAUUGCCUUGCUUUAGCCUACACACACAAUUUUAUAUGACCCAACGAGAAAGGUGUUAAAUUGUAUUCGUUUGAAAAGCAUCUUUUGUACCAAAGCAAAUUCUUUUCUCUGCUCAUCUCCAUCAUCGAUUUGGACCUAUGGUGGCGACCAGUGAGUUGGUUCCAGAAACUUAAGUGAGUGCCUUGAGAACGCUUGGGAACUGUGCCUGAGGUGGUAAACUUUUAAUUAGGUUAAUUGUAGCGCUUACCAAUCAGUAACUACACUAUCACUCAGGGCUUUCGUACCUUCUAGGUAAAACUCCUUUCAUUGUGGGUUUUUUUUUUUAAUACUGUAUUUUUUUUUAAGUGCCAUCAUUUAAAAUUCACUUAGUAAGUGGCAGAUUACAUUAUUCAGUCCCACAAGCACACAAACAUAGUAACACUAGGAGAUAUUUGAGCAUUUAUUUUACAAUCGACUGAAUAUAUAAUGUAAAUGCGGUAAGCAACUUUUGUAGAGGUUGUAUGUGUGAGAUAAUGUAAUGUUCUUUUCCAGUUUUUGGACUACAGUUGAAUAAACUUUUUAAUUAUUUAAAAACAUCUUUACCGAAUAACAUGUGAUGGUUUUUUUGUAUAAUGUAUUUGAUUUUGUAAAUACGUAUUUCCUGAUGUGAUUUUUGUGAGAAACGCUAAAUCUUUUAGUAUACCAUGUCCUCUGAAGAUUGGCAGGAGCUAAAUACUAGUUUGUGGGCAAUUUGUAUUGUGUACUGUACAAUAACUGGGGAACUUUUAUAAUUAUAAAAAUAUAUAUUAACUUUUAGUGUGUUGUUUAAACAAAUGACUGGAACAUACUAAAGAUAGUAGGAUUUUUUCUGAAUAUUUCAGACUUGAACUCAGGCUAGCUUUCUUGUGUUUUUCAAAACAAAAAUGGUGUCUUGUCUUUUAAAAAUCAAUAAAUUUGUUUCCUUGUUACAAACAUUUGAAA
rnacentral:lncRNA from 1 species